UACGUAGGGUGCAAGCGUUAAUCGGAAUUACUGGGCGUAAAGCGUGCGCAGGCGGUGAUGUAAGACAGAUGUGAAAUCCCCGGGCUCAACCUGGGAACUGCAUUUGUGACUGCAUCGCUGGAGUACGGCAGAGGGGGAUGGAAUUCCGCGUGUAGCAGUGAAAUGCGUAGAUAUGCGGAGGAACACCGAUGGCGAAGGCAAUCCCCGUGGGCCUGUACUGACGCUCGAUGCACGAAAGCGUGGGGAGCAAACAGG
rnacentral:rRNA from 1 species